rnacentral:rRNA from 1 species
GAUGAACGCUAGCGGAAGGCUUAAUACAUGCAAGUCGAGCGGUAGGUGGCUUCGGCCAUUGAGAGCGGCGCACGGGUGAGUAACGCGUACAUGACCUGCCUGUCAGAAGGGGAUAGCCCUGGGAAACUGGGAUUAAUACCCUAUGGUAUUGAUAUUAUGAAUGAUAUCAAUUAAAGUUGAGGCGCUGACAGAUGGAUGUGCGUCUGAUUAGCUAGUUGGUAGGUAACGGCCUACCAAGGCGACGAUCAGUAGGGGGCGUGAGAGCGUGGUCCCCCACACGGGUACUGAGACACGGACCCGACUCCUACGGGAGGCAGCAGUAAGGAAUAUUGGUCAAUGCCCGCAAGGGUGAACCAGCCAUUCCGCGUGGAGGAUGAAGGCCCUAUGGGUUGUAAACUUCUUUUAGAUGGGAAGAAAAUGCUAGAUGUAUCUGGUACUGACGGUACCAUCAGAAUAAGCACCGGCUAACUCCGUGCCAGCAGCCGCGGUAAU